ensembl:lncRNA
AUAGCUGGUCUAUGUAUAGCUGGUCUAUGUAUAGCGGGGUUAUGUAUAGCUGGUUUAUGUAUAGCGGGGUUAUGUAUAGCUGGUUUAUGUAUAGCGGGGUUAUGUAUAGCUGGUUUAUGUUUAGCUGGGUUAUGUAUCGUGGGGGUUAUGUAUAGCUGGUUUAUGUAUAGUGGGGUUAUGUGUAUAGCUGGUCUAUGUAUAGCUGGUCUAUGUAUAGCUGGUUUAUGUGUAUAGCUGGUCUAUGUAUAGCUGGUUUAUGUAUAGCUGGUCUAUGUAUAGCUGGUUUAUGUAUAGCUGGUUUAUGUAUAGCUGGUCUAUGUAUAGCUGGUCUAUGUAUAGCUGGUCUAUGUAUAGCUGGUCUAG